rnacentral:rRNA from 1 species
CCUACGGGGGGCACCAGUGGGGAAUAUUGCACAAUGGGCGCAAGCCUGAUGCAGCCAUGCCGCGUGUAUGAAGAAGGCCUUCGGGUUGUAAAGUACUUUCAGCGGGGAGGAAGGCAAUAAGGUUAAUAACCUUGUCGAUUGACGUUACCCGCAGAAGAAGCACCGGCUAACUCCGUGCCAGCAGCCGCGGUAAUACGGAGGGUGCAAGCGUUAAUCGGAAUUACUGGGCGUAAAGCGCACGCAGGCGGUCUGUCAAGUCGGAUGUGAAAUCCCCGGGCUCAACCUGGGAACUGCAUUCGAAACUGGCAGGCUAGAGUCUUGUAGAGGGGGGUAGAAUUCCAGGUGUAGCGGUGAAAUGCGUAGAGAUCUGGAGGAAUACCGGUGGCGAAGGCGGCCCCCUGGACAAAGACUGACGCUCAGGUGCGAAAGCGUGGGGAGCAAACAGGAUUAGAUACCCCUGUAGUC